rnacentral:rRNA from 2 species
GGACUACCGGGGUAUCUAAUCCUGUUUGCUCCCCAUGCUUUCGUACCUCAGCGUCAGUAUUAGGCCAGAUGGCUGCCUUCGCCAUCGGUAUUCCUCCAGAUCUCUACGCAUUUCACCGCUACACCUGGAAUUCUACCAUCCUCUCCCAUACUCUAGCUUCCCAGUAUCGAAUGCAAUUCCUAAGUUAAGCUCAGGGAUUUCACAUCCGACUUAAAAAGCCGCCUACGCACGCUUUACGCCCAGUAAAUCCGAUUAACGCUCGCACCCUCUGUAUUACCGCGGCUGCUGGCAC